rnacentral:rRNA from 1 species
ACUCAAAGGAAUUGACGGGGACCCGCACAAGCAGCGGAGCAUGUGGUUUAAUUCGAAGCAACGCGAAAAACCUUACCAAGACUUGACAUCGUAUGACCACUAUAGAGAUAUAGUAUUCUCUUCGGAGACAUAUAGACAGGUGGUGCAUGGUUGUCGUCAGCUCGUGUCGUGAGAUGUUGGGUUAAGUCCCGCAACGAGCGCAACCCUUGUGAAUAGUUGCCAAUAUUAAGUUAGGAACUCUAUUCAGACUGCCGUGGAUAACACGGAGGAAGGUGGGGACGACGUCAAAUCAUCAUGCCCCUUAUGUCUUGGGCUACACACGUGCUACAAUGGCUAUUACAAAGAGCAGCGAAUCGGUAACGACAAGCGAAUCUCAUAAAGAUAGUCUCAGUUCGGACUGUGGGCUGCAACCCGCCCACACGAAGUCGGAGUUGCUAGUAAUCCCGAAUCAGCAUGUCGGGGUGAAUGCGUUCCCGGGUCUUGUACACACCGCCCGU